rnacentral:sRNA from 1 species
CCUCUGACAAGGAAACACUACUUAGGCUUUUAAGAUCCGAUUGCGGUUCUAGUUCUUAUACUCAAUCAUACAUAUGACAUCAAGUCAUAUCUGACUCCCAAAAACUAACCAAGCUUCUUCUUGCUUCUCAAACAAAGCUUUGAUGGUGUAGCUGAAUUUCGUAUGAGUCUUUGGCUUUGUAUCUU